rfam:Gossypium arboreum cultivar AKA8401 contig_44990_5, whole genome shotgun sequence.
AAUCCCUGGUGAGGGCACCUUCUCAGAGGUCCUUGCAUCUCUCCCAUGUAUCGUAGAGUGUUUCUAAAUACAUCUGCAUAAAGGAAGAAAUAUCACUACCUAAUUU